CUUCUUAUAGUUUAUGCAAAAUAUAGUACUGAAGAUACUAAGAAAUAUUUUUUAAGAAGA
rnacentral:tRNA from 2 species